GCUGCAUGAGAUCAAGACGGAGUAUAAAAAAAAAGAGGGGACAGAAGUUUCCGCAGAGGUCUUUUCUCUUGGACAGAGUUCACACCAGCUUACGCCGAAUUUACACAGCGACAUCACCAACACUGCCGGAACCGCCAUAGAUUCAGAAGCAGCUGUAGAAUCGGAGUAUCCACCAUCCCGCUGAGAAAUCCAGAGCAUCGAAACGCCAAGAGAAACACAAGAUGGCUGCUCGUGAAUUUGAAUACCCUGAAGGAUGUGAGGAGUAUAGAAAGAAAAAGCUCCGAAAGGAACAGCUGCAUGGGAAUCAAGAAACGCUCUUUAUUGAUAGACGCAAUGGUGAAAAAAAU